UUAAGUGAAUACAUAGCUUAAUGAAGGUAACCCAGGGAACUGAAACAUCUAAGUACCUGGAGGAAGAGAAAGAAAAAUCGAUUUUCUUAGUAGCGGCGAGCGAAAGGGAAAGAGCCCAAACCGGAAACUUGUUUCCGGGGUUGUGGACAUAACAUAAAAGUGGAGGCUAUUGUAACUGAAGAGAACUGGAAAGUUCCACCGUAGAAGGUAAUAGUCCUGUAAGUGAAACGAGAAGACCACGAGUUAUGAUCCAGAGUACCACGAGACACGUGAAACCUUGUGGGAAGCAGGGAGGACCACCUCCCAAGGCUAAAUACUACCUGAUGACCGAUAGUGAAGCAGUACCGUGAGGGAAAGGUGAAAAGAACCCCGGGAGGGGAGUGAAAUA
rnacentral:rRNA from 1 species